rnacentral:lncRNA from 1 species
GGCUGUUCGACAAGUGGAGGAUUUCUCUCCGGAGUGGUGGCAGUUGGUGACGACAUCGACUUGGUACCAUGACUACUGGAUCAGCCAGCACCAAGGAGCAGAUGGUUUCUAUGAUGGUGAAGUCGAUGUAGCUGAUCUUCUCCCGGAGUCUUUUGAUUUCGAUGACAUGGAAGAUCUCUUCGAAGCUGAUGAGUUCGGUGGGGAGAUCUACCAUGCGCCUUCUGACUUUGGUAAAGCUAUCUCUAUCAACAACAAUCUCCUGAACCAGCAAGAUUUAGAGACUAAUUCGUUGUGUGAUGAUCAUCAGGUUUAGGGAAGAACGGUGAGAUGGUGAGGAGAUCUAGUGGGAACAGGAGUCCUAGGUUGGUUGUUGAACCGGCUAAGUAUGCAGAGAAGCCAGCUAAAUGGGCAAACCAGAGGGUUGCGGCUCCAAGAAACAUCCACCAGCCUCGCUGAAUAAGAGAGGGAGGAGGAGUUGUUGUUAAACUAGUCAGAGUUGGUUGUAUGUUAGCCACUGUACCUUAUGUAAUUUUCUUAGUAUUAUUUGCUUUCCCACAAGAGAACUUGUUCUUUGUACCUUUAUGAUUAUGUCCAUUCUCUAAUAAAAAUGUAAAAACAUAAAAAAGAAGUUGUAAACUCUGAAGAGAAAUGAAAAUUAGAUUUUAUUUCUAGACAAGCUUGUUCAAGCUUUAUUAGAAUGGGAAAGUCAUAGCUACCUUUCAGUUUUCACAGCUCAGUGGUUACCUCAGCUGAGCUCACAUGUUUUUGUGAAACAACUAUUCAACCUCAAGCAUUACUAGAGAAGCAUCUCAAAGUAGCAAAUUUU